AGAGUUUGAUCCUGGCUCAGAAUGAACGCUGGCGGCAUGGAUUAGGCAUGCAAGUCGAGCGCGAACGUUUUCUUCGGAGAACAAGUAGAGCGGCGAAAGGGUGAGUAACACGUGAGUAACCUGCCCCCGACUCUGGAAUAGCCCCGGGAAACUGGGAUUAAUGCCGGAUGGUGCCGGAAUUCCGCAAGGAGGUCCGGCUAAAGAUUUAUCGGUCGGGGAUGGGCUCGCGGCCCAUUAGCUAGUUGGUGAGGUAACGGCCCACCAAGGCUUAGACGGGUAGGUGGUCUGAGAGGAUGGUCACCCACACUGGGACUAAGACACUACCCAGACUCCUACGGGAGGCUGCAGUCGAGAAUCUUCCGCAAUGGGCGAAAGCCUGACGGAGCAAUGCCGCGUGAGGGAUGAAGGCCUUCGGGUUGUAAACCUCUGUCACCCGGGACGAAGAAUUGACGGUACCGGGAGAGGAAGCCACGGCUAACUACGUGCCAGCAGCCGCGGUAAUACGUAGGUGGCGAGCGUUAUUCGGAUUUACUGGGCGUAAAGGGUUCGUAGGGGGUUUGCCAAGUCUGAUGUGAAAUCCCGCGGCUCAACCGCGGAAGUGCAUUGGAUACUGGCGAACUAGAGUUCACGAGAGGAAAGCGGAAUUCCUGGUGUAGCGGUGGAAUGCGUAGAUAUCAGGAAGAACACCGGCGGCGAAGGCGGCUUUCUGGCGUGAAACCGACCCUGAGGAACGAAAGCGUGGGUAGCAAACAGGAUUAGAUACCCUGGUAGUCCACGCUGUAAACGUUGUACACUAGAUGCGGGCGAUACUUCGGUGUUGUCCGUGUCCCAGCUAACGCGAUAAGUGUACCGCCUGGGGACUACGGCCGCAAGGCUAAAACUCAAAGGAAUUGACGGGGGCCCGCACAAGCGGUGGAGCAUGUGGCUUAAUUCGAGGCAACGCGAAGAACCUUACCUGGGUUUGACAUAUUCCGGCCCGCCUGUGAAAGCAGGCUUUUUCUUCGGAAACCGGUAUACAGGUGCUGCAUGGCUGUCGUCAGCUCGUGCCGUGAGGUGUUCGGUUAAGUCCGGCAACGAGCGCAACCCAUGUGAUUAGUUGCCAGCAGGUGAUGCUGGGCACUCUAGUCAGACUGCCCGUGUUAAGCGGGAGGAAGGCGUGGAUGACGUCAAGUCCGUAUGGCCCUUACAUCCAGGGCUGCACACGUGCUACAAUGGGUGGUACAGUGAGGCAAUACCGCGAGGUGGAGCAAAUCUCCAAAACCAUCCUCAGUUCGGAUUGGAGUCUGCAACUCGACUCCAUGAAGCCGGAAUCGCUAGUAAAGGCGUAUCAGCAACGACGCCUUGAAUACGUUCCCGGGCCUUGUACACACCGCCCGUCACAUCAUGGAAGCUGGCUGCACCCGAAGUUCCCGUUAUGCGGGACCGAAGGUGUGUCCAGUGACUGGGAUGAAGUCGUAACAAGGUAGCCGUAGGGGA
rnacentral:rRNA from 1 species